rnacentral:lncRNA from 1 species
AGGGUGUUGAUCCCAGGGUCCUGGGAUCGAGUCCUGCACUGGGCUCCCCGUGGGGAGCCUGCUUCCCUUUGCCUAUGUCUCAGCCUCUCUCAUGAAUAAAUAAAAUAUUUUAAAAGAGAGAGAGAAGGGGACACAAAACUUGUAGUAGCUGAAAAAUUUCCUACUCUGGGGAAGGAGUCAGACAUCUUGUUACAGGAGACACACAAAACACCCAUCAAAAUCAACAGAAGCUGGCCAACACCAAGACAUUGUAAUUAAAUUUGCAAAAUAUACUGAUAAAAUCUUAAAAGCACCAAGACAAAAUAAAUCCAUUACUUACAAGGGAAAACCCAUAGGCUAUCAGGUUUUUCAUCAGUCAGUCUCCAAGCUGGAAGGGAAGGCAUGAUCUGCUCCCAAGUGCUAAAAGGGGAAAAUGCAGCCAUCAAUACUCUACCCAGCAAAGCUAGCAUUCAAAAUGAGAAAUAAAGCAUUUCCCAGACAAAAAUUAAGGUUCAUGACCAUUAAACCAACCCUGCAAGAAAUACUAAAGGAGACUCUUUUUUAAAUUUUUUUUUUAUUUAUUUAUGAUAGUCACAGAGAGAGAGAGGCAGAGACACAGGCAGAGGGAGAAGCAGGCUCCAUGCACCGGGAGCCCGACGUGGGACUCGAUCCCGCGUCUCCAGGAUCGCGCCCUGGGCCAAAGGCAGGCGCCAAACCGCUGCGCCACCCAGGGAUCCCUAAAGGAGACUCUAUAGAAGAGAUCUAAAGUAACUGUGGAGGUAGGAAACAAAAGCGUGAAAGUGACUUUCUAUUAAAAUCUUUCAAGGAACUCACAAAAGAUGCAAAGUAUGACAACAUAUACUAAAAUGUGGGGCAGGAUAGGAGUCUAGCAUGGGUUUAAACAGGCAGCCAUCAACUUAAUAUGUAUUAGACUGCUAUAUGCAAAAGAGGUUAUAUACAACCCUAAUGGUAACCAUAAAUCAUAAUAUAAAUAUGGAAAGGAGAAAUUCAGACUGCUCAAGAAAACCAGCAAAGCAUGAAAAAAAAAA